rnacentral:sRNA from 1 species
AGAUUUUUGCAUAUAUGGAUAUAUAUUAGAGACAAUAGAUGUAUAUUAUAGACAAAUCUUGUUUUAUAGUAAAUAACCAAUCGUAAAAUAACGCGUGACUAAAUAAGUUAGCCAGUGUAAAAAUUGAUACAAAUCGAUAAAUUAAUAAGAUAAUAAUUAUUUUGAAAAUUCUAUGUAAAUAUAUGGUCCCAUCAAUAUUAUAAAUUAAUAAUUGUAUAAAU